GUUGUGCUGUUGUUGGAUGUCUGAUGAUUGUCACUUCAGUUCUGAUCUUCUGGAUCUGUAGGAAACUCAAAAACACACAGCAACAGGUUCAAACCAGAGAAGAGGAAAUAAUUUAUGCAAAUACAACAUUCUAUUAAAGAGCAGCAAAUAAACUGGGAUCUGCAGUAGAGGAUGAUGUUGUGCAUGCAGGAGUCAAGAAACGAUAAACAAACUCUCUGUGAUUCUCAGAUCAACAUUCAGCUGUUUAAUCAUCUUUACUUUCGGUUAUAACUUUACAUAAAGUGCUUAUUACAUUUAAGAUGUCUGUGGAUUUGUAACUUCUCCAUUGAAUUCUCAAGCAUAAUACACGCUAACAACAGCUAAAAUGCAAGCAUACAUCAACAAUAUUUCACCAUGUUUUUAAUAAUGUUUAUAGACAACAGUUUAAAGAAAGACAGAACUGUACAUUAUCAGAAACAACUAAAGUAUUUGAUUUUAAAACAGAAACUAUGUCUAUUUUUUAUUUUUCUAACUGAAUGCAUCUGACAUUUUAACAGGUUCAUUCGGGUUCAAGUGAUGCCUGAUGUGGAAAGAAAUGUGGUUUUGUUAUACUGGUGGAAGUGAAAUGUGCGUUUUUAUUUAACCGUAUGUGGUUAAUGUGUAUAUGUGUUUGCAUGUG